AUCCUGGCUCAGAAUGAACGUUGGCGGCGUGGAUUAGGCAUGCAAGUCGUGCGACAAGUUUCCUUCGGGGAAAUGGAGGAGCGGCGCAAGGGAGAGUAACGCGUGGAUACCUGCCCCGAGGUCCGGGAUAGCCCAUCGAAAGGUGGGGUAAUACCGGAUAACAUCUCCGGAUCAAAGGUGUGAUUCCGCCUCGGGAUGGGUCCGCGUCCUAUUAGCUUGUUGGUGGGGUAAUGGCCUACCAAGGCGACGAUGGGUAGUGGGCGUUAGCGCGUGGCCCGCCUCACUGGGACUGAGACACUGCCCAGACACCUACGGGUGGCUGCAGUCGAGAAUCUUCGGCAAUGGGCGCAAGCCUGACCGAGCGACGCCGCGUGCGGGAUGAAGGCCUUCGGGUUGUAAACCGCUGUCAGAGGGGAGGAAGGGUCCGUGAAGAGCGGAACUUGACCUAUCCUCAGAGGAAGUGCGGGCUAAGUUCGUGCCAGCAGCCGCGGUAAGACGAACCGCACAAACGUUAUUCGGAAUCACUGGGCUUAAAGGGUGCGUAGGCGGCCGUUCAAGUCGGGUGUGAAAGCCCUCAGCUUAACUGAGGAAUUGCGCCCGAUACUGUUCGGCUUGAGGGAGACAGAGGUGAGCGGAACUUGCGGUGGAGCGGUGAAAUGCGUUGAUAUCGCAAGGAACACCAGUAGCGAAAGCGGCUCACUGGGUCUCUUCUGACGCUGAGGCACGAAAGCUAGGGUAGCGAAGAGGAUUAGAUACCCUCGUAGUCCUAGCUGUAAACGCUGAGCACUGGAUUGGAGGGUCCUCCAUAGCCUUCCGGUCGUAGCGAAAGUAUUAAGUGCUCCGCCUGGGGAGUAUGGUCGCAGGGCUGAAACUCAAGGGAAUUGACGGGGGCUCACACAAGCGGUGGAGGAUGUGGCUUAAUUCGAGGCUACGCGAAGAACCUUAUCCUGGAUUUGACAUGCUUGGGAAUCCCCUGGAAACAGGGGAGUGCCCCUCGGGGAGCCCUUGCACAGGUGCUGCAUGGCUGUCGUCAGCUCGUGUCGUGAGAUGUCGGGUUAAGUCCCUUAACGAGCGAAACCCUUGUCGUUAGUUGCCAGCGGGUCAUGCCGGGGACUCUAACGAGACUGCCGGUGUUAAACCGGAGGAAGGUGGGGAUGACGUCAAGUCCUCAUGGCCUUUAUGUCCAGGGCUGCACACGUCCUACAAUGGUGCGUACAAAGGGAAGCAAACUCGCGAGAGUAAGCAAAUCCCAAAAAGCGCGCCCCAGUUCGAAUUGCAGGCUGCAACUCGCCUGCAUGAAGCCGGAAUCGCUAGUAAUCGCGGGUCAGCAUACCGCGGUGAAUGUGUUCC
rnacentral:rRNA from 1 species